AGGCCAGUUAUAACCAGAGCUUUUCCAGUCAGCCUCACCAAGUGGAACAAACAGAGCUUCAACAAGACCAGCUGCAAACUGUGGUUGGCACUUACCAUGGAUCCCAGGACCAGCCUCAUCAAGUGCCUGGUAACCACCAGCAGCCCCCCCAGCAGAGCACCGGCUUUCCACGUAGCAGUCAGCCUUAUUACAACAGUCGCGGUGUAUCUCGAGGAGGGUCUCGUGGUGCCAGAGGUUUGAUGAAUGGAUACAGGGGCCCUGCCAAUGGAUUUAGAGGAGGAUAUGAUGGUUACCGCUCUUCAUUCUCCAACACUCCAAACAGUGGCUAUACACAGUCUCAGUUCAAUGCUCCCCGGGACUACUCUGGCUACCAGCGGGUAUGUAAAUAUAGGGUAAUUAAGUGAUUUGGGGUUAGUUUUAUGGUGUCCAUCAUGCAUUGUUAUAUGACUUUGGCUUUUUGAUUGUUUGUUUGAAAAAAACAUGUUUUUCUUUAAACAUUACUUAAUGUAGUUUGCUUAAGAGAAUCUCAGACUUAGCUGUAAUAUACUGAUGUCUAGAAGGAGUUAAUAUAUUUUGCUAUUGUAAGCUAUCAGACUAGAUAUAAUUAACCAAAACUACCUUUCCUUUCACAACUAACUAGCUUGUCUUUCAGGAUGGAUAUCAGCAGAAUUUCAAGCGAGGCUCUGGGCAGAGUGGACCACGGGGAGCCCCACGAGGUAAUAUUUUGUGGUGGUGAUCCUAGCUCCUAUGUGGAGCUUCUGUUCUGGCCUUG
rnacentral:lncRNA from 1 species